UUUCUCUCGGUCUGAUCUUGUGAAGCAUCUGGUUUGCAGAGAGACUUGGUUCACUUGCGUUGCGGAGAUUCCUGAGUGGUUUCGCUUGGCCUCGACCGAUCGGCCUUUUCUCCUCUUCGUUUGGGGAUGUCUCUGUGGAUUCUUUUUACCUUGGAGCGAGCUGCUUGUCCGAGGAUGUUGUCUAAGGGCGAUGAAUGGGGAGAGACAGGUCAGUUUUUUGUUCCAUAAAACAGAGCGUUUGGGCUUUUUUGGAGGACUGAGGAUCUUGUUUUGCUGUCUUUUCUUGGUAGAGAUGAUGAACUCGCGUCUUUUGAUAACCUUCUGGGUAUUUAUUGGUUUUGAUUGAAAUUUGGUCUCCGGCCUUUUAUCUUUGGCAGAUGAUCAUGGGUCUAGUUCCAAUUCUUUUACAUGUUGCGAUUUUGCGGGGCUUGAGAAGUGGUGAUCUGUUGCGUUAUCUUUGCGAUUUCGAGUUGAUGAUCUUUGACAAUUGGAUAAGCUACCGCUUUUCAAGGCAGCUAAUGGUUUGAAUGGAGUUUGUGUCUCCAGUCUUGUUAUUUUCCGAUUGGUGCGAAAACCAAUUCUCUUUCUUUCCGAGGUCAGAGUUUGGCCGAUGUGUGAACUGUCAUGGUUCUUUCCAUGCAACGUGUACGCUCACUUCAGAUCAUUGCUAUUGAAAAUCUAAAGCCGGGUGUCCUUCCUAGAAA